GUGGUUGUAGCUCAGUUGGUAGAGCACCGGAUUGUGGUUCCGGUCGUCGUGGGUUCAAAUCCCAUCAUCCACCCCU
rnacentral:tRNA from 1 species